ACCCAGUCUCAGGUAGUUCUUGAUAGCAAUGCAAGAACGGACUAAUACAAUGUGAGACAUGAGGAUUGAGCAUCUGGCACAUCCAUGAAUGGACUUGUUUCUGAACCACCCUCCAAAGGAGAAAUGACCACAAACACCUAUGACCUCAACAGCAGCAUCAGCACAAUCUCCCUGUUUAUCUGUCCACUUCCCCUGCAAGACGGGACUAUUUCCAUCCCAAAAGGAUUGUGUGGGAUCAUGGGUAUCAUUCGAACUACCUGUCUAUUAUGUGAAGAAGUUAGAAGGCGAGUAGGAAGCUUCCAGAUUGAGCCACAUUGGCCAUUUAAUCACAGCAGACUAAGACGCAUUAACCAGCCAUAAAAACUUCAUGAGCUACAUUAUGCUUUGUCUUUUCUUCUAAUGCUAGAGCUCACACGGUUCAUCUUAGACCCUGCAGUUAUUCUCGUGGGGGGAAAAAAGCCCCAGUCA
rnacentral:lncRNA from 10 species